CAGUCGCCACGGUAAUACGAAGGGGGCUAGCGUUACUCGGAAUUACUGGGCGUAAAGGGCGCGUAGGCGGCACGAUUAGUCAGGCGUGAAAUUCCUGGGCUCAACCUGGGGACUGCGCUUGAUACGGUCGAGCUAGAGGAUGGAAGAGGGUUGUGGAAUUCCCAGUGUAGAGGUGAAAUUCGUAGAUAUUGGGAAGAACACCGGUGGCGAAGGCGGCAACCUGGUCCAUUACUGACGCUGAGGCGCGACAGCGUGGGGAGCAAACAGGAUUAGAUACCCGCGUAGUCCCUGUCUCUUAUAC
rnacentral:rRNA from 1 species